rnacentral:misc_RNA from 1 species
GAAAUGCGAUAAGUAAUGUGAAUUGCAGAAUUCAGUGAAUCAUCGAAUCUUUGAACGCACAUUGCGCCCCCUGGUAUUCCGGGGGGCAUGCCUGUUCGAGCGUCAUUUCACCACUCAAGCCUCGCUUGGUAUUGGGCAACGCGGUCCGCCGCGUGCCUCAAAUCGACCGGCUGGUUCUUCUGUCCCCUAAGCGUUGUGGAAACUAUUCGCUAAAGGGUGUUCGGGAGGCUACGCCGUAAAACAACCCCAUUUCUAAGGUUGACCUCGGAUCAGGUAGGGAUACCCGCUGAACUUAAGC